rnacentral:lncRNA from 1 species
UCAUUUGGAUCGUCGAUGUAAAGCGUGACUGGCCAACAUUUUUGACAGAAUGAAACAAUAUUUUCCAAGCAUGGACAUGCC